GGACCCGCACAAGCAGUGGAGUAUGUGGUUUAAUUCGAUGCAACGCGAAGAACCUUACCAAGGCUUGACAUCCUACUAACGAAGUAGAAAUACAUUAGGUGCCCGCAAGGGAAAGUAGAGACAGGUGGUGCAUGGUUGUCGUCAGCUCGUGUCGUGAGAUGUUGGGUUAAGUCCCGCAACGAGCGCAACCCCUGUGGUUAGUUGCUACGCAAGAGCACUCUAGCCAGACUGCCGUUGACAAAACGGAGGAAGGUGGGGAUGACGUCAAAUCAUCAUGCCCCUUAUUGUCUUGGGCUACACACGUACUACAAUGGCGAUAAACAGAGAGCAGCGAACCUGCGAAGGUAAGCGAAUCCCAAAAAGUCGCCCCAGUUCAGAUUGCAGGCUGAAAUUCGCCUGCAUGAAGCCGGAAUUGCUAGUAAUCGCAGAUCAGAAUGCUGCGGUGAAUACGUUCCCGGGUCUU
rnacentral:rRNA from 1 species